rnacentral:rRNA from 1 species
AAAAUUUAAUUUUAAUUUUUUGGAUUAAUUUUUUAAAUGAGUUAUAUAAAAAUUUUAAUAAGUUUUUUGUAUUUUUAAAUAAAAUUUUUGUUUAUAAAUUAAUUUUUAGUUUUAUUAAAUAAAUAAGUGUUUAUUUUAUUAAUUUAAUUAAUUAUUAUUAAAUAAUGUGCCAGCAAAAGCGGUUAAACAUUUAAUAAAAAUUAAUUUAUUUAAUAUAAUUUUUUAUUAUUUAUAAUUAAUUGGAAAGAAAUUUUAUUAUUUGGUGAAAUAUAUUAAUAAUAUUAAUUUAGUUAUUAAUUAUUUAUUAAAUUAAAGAAUUUAAUUUUAAAACUAGGAUUAGAUACCCUAUUAUAUAGAUUUAUAUAAUAAAUAAUUGAGUAAUUAGAAUUUAUUAUUUUAAAAUUAUAAAAUUUGGCGGUAUUAAUUUUUAAUUAGGGGAACUUGUUAUUUAAUUUGAUAUUCCACAAUUAUAUAAACUAGUAUAAAUAAUUAUGUAUUGUUGUUUUAAUAAUAUAUUAUAAGAUAUAUUUAAUAUAUUAAAUAAAUAAUUAUAAUUCAAAUCAAAAUAUAUUAAAUAUAUUAGAAUAUUAAAUGAGUUACAAUAAAUUAGAUUUUUGGAUUUUAAUUUUUAAAAUUAUUUUGAAAUUGGAUUUAAUAGUAAAUUUUAAUUAUUUAUAUUAUUUAUUUUUAUUAGAUAAAUAUAAAUUUAGAUUGAAUUUUUAAUAUUAUGUACAAAUUGCCCGUCAUUUUCAUUAAUUUAAAUGAAAGAAGUCGUAACAAAGUAAAAAUACUGGAAAGUGUUUUUAGAUUA